CUGGCCGUGACAGAUGGAUAACCGGGAGAAAUCCCGCCUAAUACAACAUAAUGCCGGGAGGGGACACCCCCUGCCGGCCAAAGGGGGCGACCCCGGUCACGGAUGGGCAUGCGGCGCAUUAGGUAGUUGGUGGGGCAACGGCCCACCAAGCCGACGAUGCGUAGGGGUUCUGAGAGGAAGGUCCCCCACAUUGGAACUGAGACACGGUCCAAACUCCUACGGGAGGCAGCAGUGAGGAAUAUUGGUCAAUGGCCGGAAGGCUGAACCAGCCAAGUCGCGUGAGGGAAUAAGGCCCUACGGGUCGUAAACCUCUUUUGCCAGGGAGCAAUGCCGUCCACGUGUGGACGGAAGGAGAGUACCUGGAGAAAAAGCAUCGGCUAACUCCGUGCCAGCAGCCGCGGUAAUACGGAGGAUGCGAGCGUUAUCCGGAUUUAUUGGGUUUAAAGGGUGCGUAGGCGGCCUGCCAAGUCAGCGGUAAAAUUGCGGGGCUCAACCCCGUACAGCCGUUGAAACUGCCGGGCUCGAGUGGGCGAGAAGUAUGCGGAAUGCGUGGUGUAGCGGUGAAAUGCAUAGAUAUCACGCAGAACCCCGAUUGCGAAGGCAGCAUACCGGCGCCCGACUGACGCUGAGGCACGAAAGUGCGGGGAUCAAACAGGAUUAGAUACCCUGGUAGUCCGCACAGUAAACGAUGA
rnacentral:rRNA from 1 species